GGUACUAACGGCCGCGGCUUCGCCCUCGGCGGGCCCGGCGCCCCGGCCGCGAGGCCGGGCUCUCUGUCAAGCGUGCGGUGGUUUUAUGGCGAAGAGGGGUAUAGGAACGGCUAGUGAACUAAGAAUUCUUUUUUUUUUCCCUUUUUUCCCCAUUUUUCAGCCUCUGUCAGCAUGCUUUUGACUUCUAAAUAAAGGCGACUUCUAAAUUUAAGAGUUGGGCAGCUUUGCAAGCCAGGGAAGGAUU